rnacentral:misc_RNA from 1 species
UCGAAACCUGCCACGAGCAGACCGCGAACACGUUCACGCCGCCCGGGGCUCCCGACGGUCGGGCGCGCGCUGCGCCUCCCGUCGGAGCCCCGCCCCCCUGCCCCGUCCGCGCGCGAGCAUCGCGCCCGGCGGUCCAACAAACCCACGGCGCGGAAUGCGCCAAGGAUCACAACGGCGGAGCGCCGACCCCGUCAGGCACCCGUCCGCGGCGUGCCGUGCGGGGGGACGUGCGUCUCCCGAGAUUGAAUACCGGAAAAAC